rnacentral:ncRNA from 1 species
GCCGUGAGGCAUUGGCUGAAAGCAGUGUGAUGGCAUGACUCAAGCGCUCCGACGAAUAGAAAUCGCAUCAGGCCGCCAAGUCGGGAGAGUCUGCCAAACAAGACGUAACCCAAAUCUGUAACGUAAGACGAAACGGUAAAUGCGGCGGAGCCGAGUUAAGGAU